CAUAACGAAACCCUAUUCUGCCUAUAUAUGUGUGUGAGCGUGUAUAUGUGUAUGUGUGUAUACAUAUGUAUAUAUGUGUAUAUAUAUGUGUGUAUGUAUAUAUAUGUACACACACACACACACACACACACACACACGUUAACCAGGUGUAGUGGCAUGUGCCUGUGGUCCCAGCUACUCAGGAGGCUGAGGUGGGAGAAUAGCUCGAACCUGGGAGGGAGAGGUUGCAGUGACCCAAGAUUGCACCUGGGCAACAGAGCCAGACUCUGUCUCAAAAUAAAAAAAAAAAAAGGAAAAAACAAAGAAAAACAAUAAUCCUAGGUACUUUCUGCAUGUUAUUAUUCCAUUGAUGAAAUCACACUUCACCAUUAAGAAGGGCAAUUUUUAAAACGCUAAAUCCAUUGCACCAGGCUACUGAGUGAACCCAAUUGUUAUCGAGAGCAAAAGUGUUACAGUGAGGUUCUUCGCCAUUUCUCUGGCGGCUGAUUUGGAAGGAAAGAUACUUAAUUUGACUUCACCUUCACAGAAAGGUGAACUAAGAAGCCUAUAAGGAAACCAAUUUCAGCUGCUCAGUCUACAAUGUAUUUGUCCAGUGCCAUGGAGUCAAUGAAACACAUCAGCUCAAAUGACAAUCACUGAAGUGAGACUGGGAUAUUGGCCCCUCCUGGCUGGUUGGAGUCAAACCAGAGAAACAGGUGGCUACUGUACGCACAGGCUGUACAAGGAGACCCUAGGAAAGAACAGCCUUGGUCUUUGGGGCCAUCAGAAAAAGACUGUCAUCUGAAAUUAAACCACAAGAAACCUACAUCGGGCCGGGUGUGGUGGCUCACCCCUGUUAUCCCAGGACUUUGGGAGGCCAAAGCAGGCAGAUUCCGAGGUCAGGAGAUCAAGACCAUCCUGGCUAACAUGGUGAAACCCCAUCCCUACUAAAAAUAGAAAAAAUUAGCCGGGCGUGGUGGCAGGCGCCUGUAGUCCCAGCUACUCGGUAGGCCGAGGCAGGAGAAUGGCGUGAACCCGGGA
rnacentral:lncRNA from 10 species